CCAGCAAGUCAGGCAGUCGCUCUCCCGCUUUUUGCGGGAGGGAGGAAAGUCCGAACACCCAUUUCCCGCUUCGGCGGGAUCUAAAAAGAUAGCGGCUAACAGCCGUCGCCAGUAAUGGUAGAGGUGCGAACAGAGACGUCCGAGGCCGAAAGGCUGAGGACAUCCUGCUUUAAGCGGGAUGAGCCCAAGAGUAAUCUUGGAGGUGAAACGGCUAAAUCCUUAUCGGGUGCAAGACCAAACUCUUCAGCAAUCUCCGGAUUUGCUGAAGAGAAAAAGUAGGUCGCAUGAUCUCGUCGGCAACGACGGGACCAGAUAAAUGACUGCCACCCGCUUUCAGCGGGGACAGAAUUCGGCUUAUCGACUUGCUGGGGUU
rnacentral:RNase_P_RNA from 1 species